CAGUAGCCGCGGUAAUACGUAGGUCCCGAGCGUUGUCCGGAUUUAUUGGGCGUAAAGCGAGCGCAGGCGGUUAGAUAAGUCUGAAGUUAAAGGCUGUGGCUUAACCAUAGUACGCUUUGGAAACUGUUUAACUUGAGUGCAAGAGGGGAGAGUGGAAUUCCAUGUGUAGCGGUGAAAUGCGUAGAUAUAUGGAGGAACACCGGUGGCGAAAGCGGCUCUCUGGCUUGUAACUGACGCUGAGGCUCGAAAGCGUGGGGAGCGAACAGGAUUAGAUACCCCGGUAGUCCCUGUCUCUUAUACC
rnacentral:rRNA from 1 species